AACGUGAGGGGCGAACGUUGUCCGGAAUCACUGGGCGUAAAGGGUACUCAGGCGGUGGAGAUAGUCGGGUGUGAAAGCCUCAGGCUUAACCUGAGGGGAACGAUCGAUACUUCUCCACUUGAGGAAGGGAGAGGGAGGUGGAAUUCCCGGUGUAGCGGUGAAAUGCGCAGAUAUCGGGAGGAACACCAGUGGGGAAGGGGGCCUCCGAUCACUUUCAUGACAAUCAGGUACGAAAGCUAGGGGAGCGAACCGG
rnacentral:rRNA from 1 species